CGCAUCUGUGCAUGCAGCAUAUCAAUAAGCGGAGGAAAAGAAACUAACAAGGAUUCCCCUAGUAACGGCGAGUGAAGGCGGGAAGAGCUCAAAUUUGAAAUCUUAAAGGGUUUCCCUUUACGAAUUGUAGUUUAAAGAAGUGUUUUCUGUUGAGGUUUUGGUAAAAGUUCUUUGGAAUAGGACAUCAUAGAGGGUGAGAAUCCCGUAUUUGACCUUUACUUUCAACUUUGUGAUACACUUUCAAAGAGUCGGAUUGUUCGGGAAUGCAGUCCAAAAUGGGUGGUAAAUUUAUCUAAAGCUAAAUAUUGGCGAGAGACCGAUAGCGAACAAGUACCGUGAGGGAAAGAUGAAAAGAACUUUGAAAAGAGAGUUAAACAGUACGUGAAAUUGUCAAAAGGGAAGCGUUUGACACCAGUGAUGUUUUUCUGAAAAUCAAUUAAAGAACUGUUUAUGCUAAGCUGUUUAGACUUUAUCAGCUAUCUGUUUAGUUUUGAGCUUUUCUUUAAUGCACUUUUCAGUUAACAAGUCAACAUCAAUUUCUUUUGCUGUAAAAAAGCUUGAGGAAGGUGGCUUGAGAUUCGUCUUAAGUGUUUAUAGCCUCUUGCCUAUGCAGUCGGAGAGAUUGAGGUCUGCAGCGUAGAUCCUUCGGGGCUAAAUGCAUUUGUGCUAAGUUAUAGCAUUUUAUAGACAACUUGUUGACUAUGAUUUGUCUUGUAGCUUACUCGCUUAUGUUAUUUUACCUACGCUUAGGAUGUUGAGUCGUAGAGCACGCAG
rnacentral:rRNA from 1 species